UGGGGAAUAUUGGACAAUGGGGGAAACCCUGAUCCAGCCAUGCCGCGUGUGUGAAGAAGGCCUUUUGGUUGUAAAGCACUUUAAGCAGUGAAGAAGACUCUUCGGUUAAUACCCGGAGACGAUGACAUUAGCUUCAGAAUAAGCACCGGCUAACUCUGUGCCAGCAGCCGCGGUAAUACAGAGGGUGCAAGCGUUAAUCGGAAUUACUGGGCGUAAAGCGAGCGUAGGUGGCUUGAUAAGUCAGAUGUGAAAUCCCCGGGCUUAACCUGGGAACUGCAUCUGAUACUGGCAGGCUAGAGUAGGUGAGAGGAAGGUAGAAUUCCAGGUGUAGCGGUGAAAUGCGUAGAGAUCUGGAGGAAGACCGGUGGCGAAGGCAGCCUUCUGGCAUCAUAAUGACACUGAGGCGCGAAAGCGUGGGUAGCAAACA
rnacentral:rRNA from 1 species